rnacentral:rRNA from 1 species
UACGUAGGUGGCAAGCGUUGUCCGGAUUUACUGGGCGUAAAGAGCGCGCAGGCGGUCGUUCAAGUCGCGUGUGAAAGCCCCCGGCUCAACUGGGGAGGGUCACGCGAUACUGAUCGACUCGAAGGCAGGAGAGGGUAGUGGAAUUCCCAGUGUAGCGGUGAAAUGCGUAGAUAUUGGGAGGAACACCAGUGGCGAAGGCGACUGCCUGGACGGCACCUGACGCUGAGGCGCGAAAGCUAGGGGAGCAAACGGG